rnacentral:tRNA from 1 species
GGAGAGAUGACCGAGCUGGCCGAAGGUGCUCGCCUGCUAAGCGAGUGUAUGCCGAAAGGUGUACCGCGGGUUCGAAUCCCGCUCUCUCCGCCA